rnacentral:lncRNA from 10 species
GUGCCUGUAAUCUCAGCUACUCGGGAGGCUGAGGCAGGAGAAUCGCUUGAACCUGGGAGGCAGGGGCUCCAGUGAGCUGAAAUCGCGCCACUGCACUCAAGCCUGGGCGACAGAGCAAGACUCAAAAAAAGGUCUCAAAAAAAAAAGGAAGGACCAAUGCAUCAGACUCCUUGGGAAGCUCAGAGGAGGGGCCACUGAGCCAGCUCUGGCAGGAGAGAGUAGGAUGAUGGGGAGUAUCAAGGAAGGCUUCCUGGUGGUGACACCCAGCUGAGGCUUCAGGGCCAGAAGGAGGAGAUCAGGUAGACACGGCAGGAGAAGCAUUCCUAGCAGGGAACCCCAUAUACAAAA